UACAGAGGUGGCAAGCGUUGUUCGGAAUUACUGGGCGUAAAGGGCUCGUAGGCGGCCAACUAAGUCAGACGUGAAAUCCCUCGGCUUAACCGGGGAACUGCAUCUGAUACUGGAUGGCUUGAGUUCGGGAGAGGGAUGUGGAAUUCCAGGUGUAGCGGUGAAAUGCGUAGAUAUCGGGAGGAACACCAGUGGCGAAGGCGACUACCUGGCCUGUUCUUGACGCUGAGGCGCGAAAGCUAGGGGAGCAAACGGG
rnacentral:rRNA from 1 species